AGACGUCUACAUUAGAUACCCCCGUAGUCCUAGCCGUAAACGAUACUCGCUAGGUGUCGGCCACGGUGCGACCGUUGUCGGUGCCGUAGGGAAGCCGUGAAGCGAGCCACCUGGGAAGUACGGCCGCAAGGCUGAAACUUAAAGGAAUUGGCGGGGGAGCACAACAACGGGUGGAGCUUGCGGUUUAAUUGGAUUCAACGCCGGAAAUCUUACCGGGACCGACAGCAACAUGAAGGCCAGGCUGAAGACUUUGCCGGAUUAGCUG
rnacentral:rRNA from 1 species